GUCAUGCAUGUUGUCACACUUCGAGGCUCGUGGAUACUACCAUUACAUAGUCUACAGUCUACUUGAUGGAGAGAUGGAAUCACGUUCACGUAGACAACACCAUAUGAUUGGUUUUGUGCUUGAUCUUCUCCAGCACCGAUAAAAAUGGCGGAGGCAAAGAGACCUAACACACGAAACAGGAGGCGGUAAAGGAAGAAUGGUUCACGAAGAGAACUUCCAAAGCUUACCCAAGAGGUAAAGGUAACUCAAAAUACAGAUGAAGGAUCCUCAGCUUCAGGAGAAGCCUCAAGUCCAACAAAAUCUUCAUCAGCUGAUCAGGAGCUGAUGGUGGCACCUUCAUCCAGGCUAGAGGUUUUCUGUUUCUACUUUAAGAGAAAAAUGCCAUUCACAUCAGAGGAAACAUGGGACCCAGGUACACUGUUUGCAACCAUUCCAGUGGCAGGUUCUAGAAGCUAGGACCAAGAGUAAGUCUUGGCUGAACCUAUCCAAGCAGGCCAACAGUCAUCUUAAGAAACUCUUCUGUGAUGUCAACAAUAAAGAGUACACUGGGGCCAUCCUCGUUCGUAAGAAAACCAAGAUGGUCUUCAUGCAUCACGUUACCAUAACGAUUGGUAAACACUCCUUCACAAUCCAAGAUGGAUUCAACCAGGUUUUUGAUGUGCGUCGUCUUUGGACCCUCUCCUCUACUCGGGCAAGAGGCUGGAGGAAGGAAUACAGCACUCAUUUGGAUGUGGUACUGGAAGAACGGAACCAAGAAGUGGACGGAGUCCCCCAAACAGUCUCGCUGCGAAAGUUUCCCCCAUCCACUCAUGGACUCAAAGAGAUGCGUUUGAUACGAAGAGAAACGUUGGUGUUACAACUGAAUGUAAGUCCAUAAGAGGUCCGUUGUUCCAUGGUGGUCAAAGAAACGAACUCUCGCCAAGCUUUGCUGUCAAGAGCUGUAUGUCGUUAGCUCAUGCAUGUUAUGUCUUUUCAGUGCUUAAUGUUGUCAGUCCAUCUGGAUUUCGGUCUCCCUCUUCCAGCGCCACCAUUAACAGUGCUUCCGUGCGCUGCUUCCCAAGAUUCCCCUCCUAUCUCCUUGUAUUAAGCCCAAAACAGUGGAUACCACAAGACAGUAAAAAGUACUCAAAAGGGUGAGCUUUGCUGUUCAUUCCUUUUGAUGUUUCAUGUCAUUUUGAAAAAAAUUACAAGGGGUAAGCCUCGCUGCUCAUUUCUUUUGAUGUUUUAUGUCAGUUUGGCCUCAACUACAAGGGGUAAGCCUGCUCAUCCCGCAGAUGUUUUAUAUUUUGUUGGUCAACACUUAAAGGGGGUAAGCCUUGCUGUUUACUCUUUUUGAUGUUUCAUGUAAUUUUGGCCAAUAUUACAAGGGGUUGUUGAGCGAAAAGUUGAUUAGGCUAUAACCUUGUUAUAAACAGUUCACAAUGCUUUUUUAUAGCCUUGUACACUUUUUUGAGCAAAAAGUUUACAAGGCAAUGAACACUUAUUAAGCGAAAAGUUCAUAAGGCUUGCCUUGUGACCUUCUCAAAUUUUGCCGAACAAGU